rnacentral:tRNA from 1 species
GGAGAGGUGGGUGAGUGGCUGAAACCAAGCGCCUGCUAAGCGUUUGAGGGGGCUGAUAAACCUCCUCCGAGGGUUCGAAUCCCUCCCUCUCCGCCA